ensembl:lncRNA
CACAAAGAAAAGGAAAACCAUCGGCCACCCCACCAACGUUCUGACCGGGGAGACCCGUCAGCAACUGUGUCCAAAGAACACUCUGCAGGUGUGGUGGAGGGAGGCAUUCUGGGAGGGAAGGCUGUAAGGGUUCUGGGACCACAGAAAUCAUUGGUUCCCAAGGGGAGGAUUUAGCUGGGACUUGAAGGAAGCUCAGGCCAGAGGGAGGAGGGUAAUCAUUCCCUGCAGAGAGACAGCCCCUGGAAAGGCCCAGAAUCGGGUCGUGGAAGGUCUUGGCCAAGGAUCAUCCUGGAGACCUGUGUCCCUGAGUCUGAGGAGGAGGAGGAAGGUGUGAGGAGAUGGGAAGGGGCUGGAAGGUCAUAUGCCAUUGGACCCUGUUGUGGGAAUGGUCGGGGUCCUUGGCAGUGAUAGCCAGAAUCGGGCCGCUGGGGGGAGCCCAGGAACGGCCCUCACACAGAAAAUGGGGCCUUUUUUUUUUUCAGAAGAGGAGCUUCGAGGGUUCAGCAGAGCUAUUUGUCCCAGACCCAGGAGCUGGGUAGAUGCCUUCUCUGGUAGACCUUGCUUGAUGUAUUUAUUUUUUGCCUAUGGUCUUCCUCCCUCAUUGAAUUGUCAGCUCCUUGAGGACAAGAGUUGUCUUUUGCCUUUUGGGGAAUCCCCUGGGCUGAGCACAGGGCCCCGUAUAUAAAAGGCAUUGAAUGUCGAUGGAAUGGAAUCGAACAUUUCUGGUCCUUUUGAAAACCUGAGUAUGUCGCUCUCUUGUUUGUCUUCUCCCAUUUGGUUCUAAAAGAUGCAUUCACUUGUAGAUGGGACAUCACAAGAGUCUUUCCAUGACACCCUGUGUCUUUGGCUUCACCCUAACCCUACCAGGUUUCUCUCCUUCUAUUGUUAUUCUGCUACGAUUGUGGUCUGGAGUGACUCACUCCUCCUUUGUACGGUGUGGAGUUUUCCACAAACACAUUUCAGGUUUUCAUUCUAAAAGUAGGUCAGGCUACUUUUCAUGGGUGAGCAUUGACUUUUUGGGCCAUGAUGGUAGGGCUCCCAUUGGCAGGGGUUGGGAGUGACAUUUAACAAAAAGGUCAACGGAGGCCGUUCUCCAAACAAGAUGAAUGGGCAUUCUGCCUGUCCAUGAAGAAGUCGAUGGCGUUACGUCCUCUACAAAGAACAGAAUAGGUGCCAGAGAAUGGAGGGCAACGAAACUGGUUUGGAGCGAGGAUGUAGAAACAGUAUGAUUGAUUGGAAGUUGAGUAAACGGGCGCCAGCCAGCCUUUGAGUUCAAAUGCAAAGGCAAAGCCCUGACUUUGGACAGCAAAAGAAACCUCUUUGAGGGAUUCUUGGAUGGUGAAAGAAUGCUACAGCGGAGAGGAUGUUUUGGCAGAAGAAACGUGUCUGCAAGGAAAUACCCAGGAGUGCCGUGGAGCAGUGAUUGACAGGAGAGAACUUGCUUCGAGUCUUAGAACCUUGGAGGAGGGGGAGCUUGGAAGUUCAACAAGGGGAGUUACGAGGGAACUCCGAGACCCUUACUCCAGCCUUUGGCAGAGAACCCCACGGCGGCCAAGGAUUUCCUCCUCGAACCUGACAUCCACAGAGUCUAGACAGGUUUCCUGUCCCUAGAAGAAGAAGAAGACCAACGAGGGAGCAGAGUGGAACGGCCGAGUUUACCCUGAGGUAGACAGACUUGCUCACCAGCGUCACCUAAUGUCUGGAGACUUAUUCCCUCUGUGGAUGAGCCUCCAGUGAGACAGCGUCCCCAAACCCCUAGGCAGAGAGGAGAUUUCAAAUGGGCCUUGGCUCUAGCCGAGGGCUGACAAGACCGGACAUCGAAAACGACUUCUUUAGUUUAGGGAAAACGACACCCCUCUUUCCUGAUCCUGCCCGUGUUUGCUGUACACAAAUACAUGUUAACACCCGAGAAGCCGUCACAUUCAUCGAAGAGAAUCCUUAUUCUUAUGAAUAAACUCAUGCCACAAAUUAAUUCCUGUUUUUUG